GUGCCAGCCGCCGCGGUAAUACCGGCAGCUCAAGCGAUGUCCCAUAUUAUUGGGCCUAAAGCGUCCGUAGCUGGCUGCGCAAGUCCGUCGGGAAAUCCACUCGCCCAACGAGUGGGCGUCCGACGGAAACUGGCCGGCUUGGAACCGGAAGGCUCAGAGAGUACGUCCGGGGUAGGAGUGAAAUCCCGUAAUCCCGGACGGACUACCGAUGGCGAAAGCACUCUGAGAAGACGGCUUCGACAGUGAGGGACGAAAGCCAGGGUCUCCAACCGGAUUAGAAACCCUAGUAGUCC
rnacentral:rRNA from 1 species